UAGGAAAACAAGGGUUUGGUAUAAUAGGGUUUUGGUUGCUGUUUUUCAGAAGUAAAAGGCGGAGGUGCUUCUAGGCCUCAACUGGGUCAUGGGUUUCGAAGUGAUCUAUUUAAGAUGGUUGCAGAUAUGAAGCCUGCAUUUAUUAGAUUUCCAGGUUUAUCUAUACUAUAUAAGAAGAUGAAGAGAGAGAGGUUGAGAUGGUUUCCGUGCUCUGGAACUUCAAAGAAGAAGAAGAUGAAGAUAUGGGGAUGGUUUCCAUGCUCUGGAACCUCAAAGAAGAUGAAGAGCUAUCACCUAUGAGCUUCAGAAGAUAUGGGGGAUGGAAAAGGAAAAAGUGUUUCAUAGAGAGUUGACUACUUGACUUGGUCAAGUUAUCUGUUACCAUUUUGGCUCCAUUCUGUUGGGUUCUUAAGAUUGCUUCUUAACAUUGCUUCUU